UACGUAGGGUCCGAACGUUGUCCGGAAUUAUUGGGCGUAAAGGGCUCGUAGGCGGUUUGUCACGUCGGGAGUGAAAACUCAGGGCUCAACCCUGAGCGUGCUUCCGAUACGGGCAGACUAGAGGUAUGCAGGGGAGAACGGAAUUCCUGGUGUAGCGGUGGAAUGCGCAGAUAUCAGGAGGAACACCGGUGGCGAAGGCGGUUCUCUGGGCAUUACCUGACGCUGAGGCGCGAAAGCUAGGGGAGCAAACAGG
rnacentral:rRNA from 1 species